rnacentral:rRNA from 1 species
UACGUAGGGAGCAAGCGUUGUCCGGAAUCAUUGGGCGUAAAGCGCGCGUAGGCGGCCCUGUAAGUCCGUUGUGAAAGUCAAAGGCUCAACCUUUGAAAGCCGAUGGAUACUGCAGGGCUAGAGUUCGGAAGAGGCGAGUGGAAUUCCUGGUGUAGCGGUGGAAUGCGCAGAUAUCAGGAGGAACACCAAUAGCGAAGGCAGCUCGCUGGGACGAUACUGACGCUAAGGCGCGAAAGUGUGGGGAGCGAACAGG